GUCCCUGUUGCGUAAAGGGAAACGCGUUGGACUUUUGAUCCAAAGAAGGUUGUGGGUUCGAAUCCCACCUGGGGUG